CCUAUUCUUCCACCCUAACCCAGCCACCACUUUCCCCCACCUUUUCUCCAUCUAGUCGCACAACCACGACCACUCCCAUCCCUUACAGCCCAAAUCGCCACCACCACUCAAAAUCAGCCCAUCCCCUAACCCCCACUGAAAUCAGCCCAACCCCACCCUUUUCGCAACCAAAAGAACCCUCCAUCCCACUAAAAUCAGCCAUAUCAUCGCACCACCACUUGAAAUCAGCCAAACCCCCAACCCCACUGAAAUCAGCCCAACUUUUAUCUUUUUUGCAGCCAAAAGAACCCUCCACCCCACUGAAAAUCAGCCCUACCACUGUUAAGCACCACUCGAAAUCAGCCAACCCCCAACCCCCACUGAAUCAGCCCAACCUUCACCCCCACUGGAAUCAGCCCUAUCAUUGUUAAAAAAUAAUUAAAAGGGUAAGGGUUAGGCUGUGCGGGAUGGAAGUGGUGGUGGCUGUGCUGGUUGUCUGGCUGGAAGGAGAAGAGGUGGGAGAGGUGGUUGGGUUGGAGUAGUAGUGGCUGGGUUGGGGUGGAAGAAUGGGUGGGAAUCUUUGCUGGUGGAAUCAUUGAGAGAUUUAUUCACGAAAAUGUGAAAGUUUCCAACUAUUCGUUAAGAACUUACAAUUGUAUUUCCAACAUUAUUUCUGGUUUGCAAAAAAAAUGGAAUAUAUGGUAAGUUGAACUGAACGACAAAGAUUAUAAUACAAUUUUUAAAACAAGAACGACAAAGAAUGCAACAGCUUAGAGGCUUAUUGUAAAGCGAGAUCAAAUCACAAGUAAAAGUAUCCUCUGGAGGUCCAUCUUCAUACUUCAAGAACAUGAUCAUCCUCAGAAGUAGAAUAGCUACUGUAAUCGACCAUAUAUCCUGCAACAACAGUUUUAGUAUUCGUUCAUAUCUUGAAUGCAAAUAGAUAGAAUUCCCUCUUUUUGUUAAGUGGUAAUGUGGUAUACAAAGUUUUCUUUGGCCAAAGCCAAAAAUGCUGUAUCAGAUAGAGUUUUCCAAGUUUAAUGAAAAUGCUAUCUCCCCUCUACUGACCCAAAAUGCUCUUUUUGUUAGAAGCUUAUUUUUACAAAUAUUUUUACUUCACUAUAUAUUUAAAAAUAAAGCUUAAAAAAAGUUUUAAAUAUAACUGAAACAGAACAUCAAU